CAGUGGGGAAUAUUGCACAAUGGGCGCAAGCCUGAUGCAGCGACGCCGCGUGAGGGAUGACGGCCUUCGGGUUGUAAACCUCUUUCAGUAGGGAAGAAGCGAAAGUGACGGUACCUGCAGAAGAAGCGCCGGCUAACUACGUGCCAGCAGCCGCGGUAAUACGUAGGGCGCAAGCGUUAUCCGGAAUUAUUGGGCGUAAAGAGCUCGUAGGCGGUUUGUCGCGUCUGCCGUGAAAGUCCGGGGCUCAACUCCGGAUCUGCGGUGGGUACGGGCAGACUAGAGUGAUGUAGGGGAGACUGGAAUUCCUGGUGUAGCGGUGAAAUGCGCAGAUAUCAGGAGGAACACCGAUGGCGAAGGCAGGUCUCUGGGCAUUAACUGACGCUGAGGAGCGAAAGCAUGGGGAGCGAACAGGAUUAG
rnacentral:rRNA from 1 species